UGAUUUUAAUUCUAUAAAUCUAUGAUAAU
rnacentral:piRNA from 1 species